UGGUUUUGGCCAUGGCAAUGAUUCGCUUCUACAUCAUGAAAGGCACACACAAGGGCCUGUACAGAAGUAUAGCAAGGACACUCAAGUUUUUCCAGACCUUUGCUUUAGUUGAGGUGGGACAUUGUGCAAUCGGGAUUGUGAGGACUUCUGUCAUUGUAACCGGGGUUCAAGUGUGUUCACGGAUUUUCAUGGUUUGGUUCAUCACCAACAGCAUCAGACAGGU